UNCUUUGAUAAUUGGCAUAUGCCUUUCCUGC
rnacentral:piRNA from 1 species